UGUUAAAUGAAUAAAAUUGUUUGUAUUUUAUUUGGGGAGAGGAGUUGAAUUGACUCAAGUUUUAUUACAAAUACCGUGGAAAUUAAUUUGUUUUUAAUCAAUAUUGUUUUACGCAUACUAUGUAAAUUGUGUAAAGGCGCAUCAAAUAGUACGACCCAUAUUGUAGAUGAAAUUCAUUGUAUAUUGGAUUUAGUUGAACGAAAAUGUAUGACAUAUACUGUUGCCGAACUUCAGUGUUUACGAGUAAAAUGUAAAAACAACAUUCAGUGAUUGAUAUUCGUGAUUUACAAAAUCAUUUGCGGAGAUACAUGUCUUUAACAAACUGGAAGCCGCCAAGAUGAACGCGUUCCAGACCAACCAGUAACUUGAAUAGAGUGGGUUUUUCUUCAGUUGAAUUUUUCCAUUUUCUUAAGAUGUCUUCAGUUUGAUCGUACAUCUUUCGGUGAUCUGUUUUUGUCUGCUCUAUAGAGCUUAUAGCUAUUCCUAGUUCUACACCCAGUUGUAAAGCGCAGUUACCAAGUUUUUGAGGUAGAUUUUUUAGGACAUCAUCAUUUGGAACUUCGUCUGGUACGACAUUUGGAAAUUCUGUAAAA
rnacentral:lncRNA from 1 species